CAACUUUUCAAGUCCAAAAAUAAACUAAAUCUGGAAACUUAACUGGAAUUUUUUUCUAAGUCUCGGACCCCCUUGACAAGCUUAUAGGACUGAAUUAUCUUACACCUGUACAAUAAUAUAAUUUUUAAGUGAAGAAGAUAAAAAGGUGGAUCUGAAUAAUAAUAUAAUAUUUAAGUGAAGAAGAUAAAAAGGUAGAUCUCAAUAUUCACUGAGUUUCAAACUCGACAGCACUUAACUAGAUGAUUUCUUUACUUGUGUUAGUUUAAGGACUGGCUAUAUUGAUCAAAAUACUUUCAGAAAGAGCUUUUGCUAGAUGUUCUCUAAAAUCAGUUUUAGAGAUCUAAGCACAAUCCUGCAAAUAUUUUCUCAAAAUUCUUGUAGAUGGCUCCAAAUGGUUCCUAAUGUCUUUCUAUAAAAAAAAUACUCCAAUGGUUGAAUAUUGCAGUUUGAUACCAAUAGUUCAAGUUUGUUCUGACAUUUCCUGUUCGAGAAGCAGAGUUUGAGUUAGAAGAAUCUGUUGAUGUUAGAGCUUGUUUUUGUUUUGCAGCAUACAAGUUGAUGGAAGAUUUAUAAGAAAAGCAAUAACAAAAAUCAGAGAUGCAAAAAGAACUGGAUGCUUAAAUGACAACUUGACUUUUGAGAAUCAAAAUUUAGAAGUGGUUGCUUUAACAGAGAAACAAAAUAUAGAAAUGUGAUUUUCAAAGUUGAUGGGUCCUCAAGGUUUGAAAAAAAAUUCCAAAAGAGUUGAUUGAAGCAAAUAAUCAGGUAUUAGAAAAGUUUCAAGCAGAGUUGAAAGCUCGUGCAAUGUUGCGUAUUGCAGAAGAGACAGAGAAGAGGCUUUUGAGUGAAAAAGCAUCACUUGAGGAAAAAAUUGAAGAGCUAGAGAAGAAGAUAACAGUGGGAAGAUUUAAAUCAAGUAACAACACAAGUGCUAUCGGAGAAGAGUCUUUUUUUUUAAAUACUUAGUAUAGAAUCAUCAGUUUAUAUAUUUUUUACAUGUAAAAACAUGUAGAAGUACUUGAUUUUUUGAAAUUAACAAAUAUCGAGUUCAGCAAUCUUAUAUAUGUAUGGACCUUUGCAAAUUUAUAUAAUUUUAAAUUUUAGUAUUUUU